CGGCCACAUUGGGACUGAGACACGGCCCAGACUCCUACGGGAGGCAGCAGUGGGGGAUAUUGCACAAUGGGGGAAACCCUGAUGCAGCGACGCCGCGUGGAGGAAGAAGGUUUUCGGAUUGUAAACUCCUGUCGUUAGGGACGAUAAUGACGGUACCUAACAAGAAAGCACCGGCUAACUACGUGCCAGCAGCCGCGGUAAAACGUAGGGUGCAAGCGUUGUCCGGAAUUACUGGGUGUAAAGGGAGCGCAGGCGGACCGGCAAGUUGGAAGUGAAAACUAUGGGCUCAACCCAUAAAUUGCUUUCAAAACUGCUGGCCUUGAGUAGUGCAGAGGUAGGUGGAAUUCCCGGUGUAGCGGUGGAAUGCGUAGAUAUCGGGAGGAACACCAGUGGCGAAGGCGGUCUACUGGGCACCAACUGACGCUGAGGCUCGAAAGCAUGGGUAGCAAACAGGAUUAGAUACCCUGGUAGUCCAUGCCGUAAACGAUGAUUACUAGGUGUUGGGGGAUUGACCCCCUCAGUGCCGCAGUUAACACAAUAAGUAAUCCACCUGGGGAGUACGACCGCAAGGUUGAAACUCAAAGGAAUUGACGGGGGCCCGCACAAGCAGUGGAGUAUGUGGUUUAAUUCGAAGCAACGCGAAGAACCUUACCAGGUCUUGACAUCCGAUGCAUAGCACAGAGAUGUGUGAAAUCCUUCGGGACAUCGAGACAGGUGGUGCAUGGUUGUCGUCAGCUCGUGUCGUGAGAUGUUGGGUUAAGU
rnacentral:rRNA from 1 species